UCCAUGUGCCUAUGAUGAAGCCUGAGUUGGUAGGGGCAUCUGAGAGAUUUUCUAUACAAUGUA
rnacentral:snoRNA from 1 species